UUAACCGGAUUAGAUACCCUGGUAGUCCACCCCGUAAGCGUUGGGAACUAGUUGUGGGGACCAUUCCACGGUUUCCGUGACGCAGCUAACGCAUUAAGUUCCCCGCCUGGGGAGUACGGCCGCAAGGCUAAAACUCAAAGGAAUUGACGGGGACCCGCACAAGCGGCGGAGCAUGCGGAUUAACUCGAUGCAACGCGAAGAACCUUACCAAGGCUUGACAUAUACGAGAACGGGCCAGAAAUGGUCAACUCUUUGGACACUCGUAAACAGGUGGUGCAUGGUUGUCGUCAGCUCGUGUCGUGAGAUGUUGGGUUAAGUCCCGCAACGAGCGCAACCCUCGUUCUAUGUUGCCAGCACGUAAUGGUGGGAACUCAUGGGAUACUGCCGGGGUCAACUCGGAGGAAGGUGGGGAUGACG
rnacentral:rRNA from 1 species